AGGCUUUUUGCUAAGCCAGGCAAACAGUUUCCCCCUGCCUCCAGUCUUUAUGCAAAGCUAAGCUAAAUGUUUGCUGGUGGUAUCCUUAUUAUGCAUGGGCAGAUAUGAGAGUGGAAUU